GAUGAACGCUGGCGGCGUGCAUAACACAUGCAAGUCGAACGAUGAAGCUUAAAAGAUUUCUUCGGAAUGAACUUCAUUGGAUUAGUGGCGGACGGGUGAGUAACGCGUGAGUAACCUGCCUUGUACAAGGGGAUAGCCGUCGGAAACGACGAAUAAUACCCAAUGACAUCAUUUAAUAGCAUGAUAAUUUGAUCAAAGAUUUAUCGGUAUAAGAUGGACUCGCGUCUGAUUAGCUAGGUGGUAGAGUAAAAGCCUACCAAGGCAACGAUCAGUAGCCGGCUGUAGAGAGUGUACGGCCACAUUGGGACUGAGACACGGCCCAGACUCAUACGGGAGGGAGCAGUGGGGAAUUAUGCACACGGGGGGAAAGCAGGAUGCCGCGACGCCGCGUGAUUUAGAAGGCCUUCGGGUUGUAAAAAUCUUUUGUAUGGGAAGAAAAUGACGGUACCAUACGAAUAAGGACCGGCUAAUUACGUG
rnacentral:rRNA from 1 species